UACGGGGGGAGCAAGCGUUGUUCGGAUUUACUGGGCGUAAAGGGCGCGUAGGCGGCCAGCACACGUCAGUUGUGAAAUCUCCGAGCUUAACUCGGAACGGUCAACUGAUACUGUGCGGCUAGAGUGCGGAAGGGGCAACUGGAAUUCUUGGUGUAGCGGUGAAAUGCGUAGAUAUCAAGAGGAACACCUGCGGCGAAGGCGGGUUGCUGGGCCGACACUGACGCUGAGGCGCGAAAGCCAGGGGAGCGAACGGG
rnacentral:rRNA from 1 species